rnacentral:rRNA from 1 species
UACAGAGGUCUCGAGCGUUAGGCGGAAUCACUGGGCUUAAAGCGUGUGUAGGCGGAUUGGUAAGUACCUUGUGAAAUCCCACGGCUUAACCGUGGAACUGCUGGGUAUACUGGCGAUCUUGAGCCACCUAGGGGCAACCGGAACAAAUGGUGGAGCGGUGAAAUGCGUAGAUAUCAUUUGGAACGCCAAUGGUGAAAACAGGUUGCUGGGGGGUGUGCUGACGCUGAGACACGAAAGCCAGGGGAGCGAACGGG